rnacentral:rRNA from 1 species
UACCAGCACCCCGAGUGGUCGGGACGAUUAUUGGGCCUAAAGCAUCCGUAGCCGGCCUUACAAGUCCUCCGUUAAAUCCAGCUGCUUAACAGAUGGGCUGCGGAGGAUACUAUAAGACUAGGAGGCAGGAGAGGCAAGCGGUACUCAGUGGGUAGGGGUAAAAUCCGUUGAUCCAUUGAAGACCACCAGUGGCGAAGGCGGCUUGCCAGAAUGCGCUCGACGGUGAGGGAUGAAAGCUGAGGGAGCAAACCGG